CUGAGUACGACGGAGCACGUGAAAUUCCGUCGGAAUCUGGGAGGACCAUCUCCUAAGGCUAAAUACUCUCUAGUGACCGAUAGUGAACCAGUACCGUGAGGGAAAGGUGAAAAGCACCCCGGAAGGGGAGUGAAAUAGAACCUGAAACCGUGUGCUUACAAGUAGUCAGAGCCCGUUAAUGGGUGAUGGCGUGCCUUUUGUAGAAUGAACCGGCGAGUUACGAUUUGAUGCAAGGUUAAGCAGUAAAUGUGGAGCCGUAGCGAAAGCGAGUCUGAAUAGGGCGUUUAGUAUUUGGUCGUAGACCCGAAACCAGGUGAUCUACCCUUGGUCAGGUUGAAGUUCAGGUAACACUGAAUGGAGGACCGAACCGACUUACGUUGAAAAGUGAGCGGAUGAACUGAGGGUAGCGGAGAAAUUCCAAUCGAACCUGGAGAUAGCUGGUUCUCUCCGAAAUAGCUUUAGGGCUAGCCUCAAGUGAUGAUUAUUGGAGGUAGAGCACUGUUUGGACGAGGGGCCCCUCUCGGGUUACCGAAUUCAGACAAACUCCGAAUGCCAAUUAAUUUAACUUGGGAGUCAGAACAUGGGUGAUAAGGUCCGUGUUCGAAAGGGAAACAGCCCAGACCACCAGCUAAGGUCCCAAAAUAUAUGUUAAGUGGAAAAGGAUGUGGCGUUGCCCAGACAACUAGGAUGUUGGCUUAGAAGCAGCCAUCAUUUAAAGAGUGCGUAAUAGCUCACUAGUCGAGUGACACUGCGCCGAAAAUGUACCGGGGCUAAACAUAUUACCGAAGCUGUGGAUUGUCCUUUGGACAAUGGUAGGAGAGCGUUCUAAGGGCGUUGAAGCAU
rnacentral:rRNA from 1 species